rnacentral:rRNA from 1 species
CGUGUAGGCGGUAAUGUAAGUCAGACGUGGAAUCCUUUGGCUCAACUGAAGAACUGCGUCUGAAACUGCAUGACUAGAGUGCAGAAGAGGGAAACGGAAUUCCCGGUGUAGAGGUGAAAUUCGUAGAUAUCGGGAGGAACACCGGUGGCGAAGGCGGUUUCCUGGUCUGACACUGACGCUGAGGCGCGAAAGCGUGGGGAGCAAACAGGAUUAGAUACCCUGGUAGUCCACGUCGUAAACGGUGGGUACUGGGUGUGGGAGGUGUAAUGCCUUCUGUGCCGAAGCUAACGCGUUAAGUACCCCGCCUGGGGAGUACGGCCGCAAGGUUGAA